AGUGAACGCUGGCGGUAUGCCUAACACAUGCAAGUCGAGCGGCAGCACAAUAAGCUUUCUUUCCUGCUGUUAGCGGCGGACGGGCGGGUAACACAUACAUCACCUUCCUCUUUGUCUUGGAUAACUUCGUAGAACCACAGAUACUACUAGCUCAUACUUUCUACCGCUUGAUUCAAAAGUGCUUGACGGUUUUGCUGUCUCUUUUAGAUGGUUCCGCGCUGGAUUAGCUAGUUGGUAAGGUACCGGCGUACCAAGGCAACGAUGCGUAGCUGAUCUGAGAGGAUGAUCAGCCACACUGGAACUGAGACACGGUCCAGACUCCUACGGGAGGCAGCAGUAGGGAAUCUUGGGCAAUGGGCGAAAGCCUGACGGAGCAAUGCCGCGUGAGUGAAGAAGGUCUUCGGAUCGUAAAACUCUUUUAUUGGGGAAGAACAGAUGUGGAAGUAACUGUGCACAUCUUGACGGUACCUAAACAGAAAGCACCGGCUAACUACGUG
rnacentral:rRNA from 1 species